AGUUUUGAUUUCGUUAACUGUGCUUAUUUAUAUGUCUAAUGUUUACUAUAACGUAACAUUUUAUUUCAGGAUUAACAGAAAACGUGGCAGAUGUGGACUUUGUUCUAGCUCAUAGUGUCAAGAAUGUUCGUUAAGACAUCCAGAUUUGGACAGAAAGUCCGGUUCAACACCUCCGUUGGAAACUGAGCUCCCAUCUGGAUUCAAACAACAAUUAACCAAUCGUAAUCCUCCAAUGUAGCGAAGAUCUUGUCGAGUUGAGAUAAAGCUAGAUGAAGCUGUAAGGACGGACGCAUUCCUAAAUACCUGUAUUACCUAAAGAAUAUUUCUUUUGAAAAUCCGAGCAUCAUACAAAUUAGGAAUUGUGUUUAUCAUGAAAAGUGAAGAUAACGAACAGUGAUCAAUCUCAUAACCCCUACAAACAAUACGAAAUAGAGAGUUGGCCAAACACGGACCCCUGGAUACAUGUAUACCAGAGGUGAGAUCAGGUGCCCAGAAGUAAGCAUCCCCUGUCGACCAGUUACACCCACCGUGAGCCCUAUAUCUUGACCAGGUAAACAGAGUUGUGAGUAGUCAAAAUUAGUUUGCUAAGAACGGACUAACAAUCGGUAUGAAACAAGUCAGACAGCAUAUUACCCAAUGAUAGGUUGUAUUGGCAAACUAGAUUGUUAUAACAACCAUAGAAUUUGUGAAUUACUGAUUUUAAAACGAGACUGUUGAAACCUCUGCACCAUCAACUUAUUUGUCAGUAGCCUGCUUCGAUUUAAAAACUGAUCAUACGCAGAACAAGCUCUUGCGUAUCGAAUCAGAUAUAUAAACACCAUAUGCAGUACGCAAGUUCCGAUAUAUCAGCUCUUCUGUGACGGAGGUACAUUCCGUAUUCUGUUGAACGUUUGGGGGGGGGGUACAAGAUGUAUACAUAUAUUAUAGACUAUCUAUGUAAAUAAUAUAGUUAUGACAGCGUAAAUUGUGUUUAUAUCAGCUGUUGGUAUACAUUAAACAUAUGAGGAAUAAUAUUUGUUUGAAUUAGGCCAUUAAAUUAGAUAUUGAUGUA